rnacentral:rRNA from 1 species
UGAGUAACACGUGGAUAACCUACCUAUAAGACUGGGAUAACUUCGGGAAACCGGAGCUAAUACCGGAUAAUAUAUUGAACCGCAUGGUUCAAUAGUGAAAGACGGUUUUGCUGUCACUUAUAGAUGGAUCCGCGCCGCAUUAGCUAGUUGGUAAGGUAACGGCUUACCAAGGCGACGAUGCGUAGCCGACCUGAGAGGGUGAUCGGCCACACUGGAACUGAGACACGGUCCAG